GACGAACGCUGGCGGCGUGCUUAACACAUGCAAGUCGAACGGUAAGGCUCCAGCUUGCUGGGGUACACGAGUGGCGGACGGGUGAGUAACACGUGGGUGACCUGCCCUGCACUUCGGGAUAAGCCUGGGAAACUGGGUCUAAUACCGGAUAGGACCAUGGUGUGGAUACUGUGGUGGAAAGUUUUUUCGGUGUGGGAUGGGCCCGCGGCCUAUCAGCUUGUUGGUGGGGUAAUGGCCUACCAAGGCGGCGACGGGUAGCCGGCCUGAGAGGGUGGACGGCCACAUUGGGACUGAGACACGGCCCAGACUCCUACGGGAGGCAGCAGUGGGGAAUAUUGCACAAUGGGCGGAAGCCUGAUGCAGCGACGCCGCGUGGGGGAUGACGGCCUUCGGGUUGUAAACUCCUUUCACCAUCGACGAAGGGUUUCUGACGGUAGAUGGAGAAGAAGCACCGGCUAACUACGUG
rnacentral:rRNA from 1 species